rnacentral:sRNA from 1 species
UUUCCUGAGCUCAAGCUACAGUUCCAAGAGUUUUCUUACCUACUCUACUCUAUCUUAUUUUGGAUUUGUACUUUUUAAAAACAAUUAUUUUACUUUCACAGAACUGGUUCUCCAGAGGAAAGGAGAUAAAGACACUUGAUAUGUUGAAUGAGUAACAAAAGAAUCAUAAAUCUGUGUGGACUUUUUUUGAUAAGUUUAGGAGAAGAUUCCAUUCUGCCACUAAGCUUGGACAACUUCCCCUAAAAGAGUCUGUUCAUUCCUUGUCUCAGGCAGUGACGUCAGUGUUGGGGGCCGUCCUCACCUCAAGGAGCACAGAGUCUGGUAUUGACAAGGAACGCAAACAGAUGAUUAUAAAGCAGUGUCAUAAACAUGUUGAUGAGAGUGUGCACAAAUGCUGUGGGAGGAAAGGAGGGUAUGAAUAUUUUCGUAUGGAAGAUAGAUGAAGACUUCACAAGAAAGAAAAUGCUUGAACUGAAUCUUGGAAGUUAGAACCAGCAGUUCACCAGGUAGGGAAAAGGCAUUCUAGCAAGAGGGAAUAGCACAGACACAGGCAUGGAAGGGUGAGAGAUGAUAGGAAGUGCCUGCAUAUGGCUAUAAAUACUAAGGGGAGUGUCAGGAGAUGAGGCUGGGAUGGUAAGUUACGGAAAGAUGAUGAAGGGCCCUGUGCUGUGUGCCCUGAAAAUCUGGUUUGGGAGGCAAAUCCCAGGACAGGUUGCAAUACACAUGGCUGAUAAGUGCAGAUAAUACAUCCUAUCAGGUCAUUUACUUUUAGUGCUAAGUCAGCCUCUCUAACAUAAAUAUUUUCCAUCUACUUUGUUACAU